rnacentral:rRNA from 1 species
GACGGAGGGUGCAAGCGUUGUUCGGAUUGACUGGGCGUAAAGGGCGUGUAGGCGGUUUGUCAAGUCGGGUGUGAAAGCCUGGGGCUCAGCCCCAGAAGUGCAUCCGAAACUAGCGAGCUAGAGCGCGAUAGAGGAGGGUGGAAUUCCUGGUGUAGCGGUGAAAUGCGUAGAUAUCAGGAGGAACACCGGCGGCGAAGGCGGCCCUCUGGAUCGUUGCUGACGCUGAGACGCGAAAGCGUGGGGGAGCAAACAGG